GGAACCAGGCCUGAUGCUGCCUGACACCAGAGGCACCACACACAAGAAGCCGUACUCUAACGAAACCUGUCCCUUUUGAGUCUCCUCAGUCUCAAGAAGACAAGGUCACUUCCACCCACACCUUCAAAAUUCUCCUCAGACAAUCAAAAAGGAUGCCCGAACUUCUUAGCUGCAGAACCUGAAGAGUCUCAUGUCUGAACUCAACAGAUAAAAUAGUGAGGUUGGCUGUGUACUGUCGGACUGACGGCCCCAGAGGGAGCCUGCAUGAUGGUCAGAGAGAUACUUUCCUGUGCUUUCCAGGAUGGCAGCAGAUACAGAGACCCAGACCCCUAGUGGGCACCCACGGAAACCCAGCAUCCGUAGGAUCAGCACUGCUCAACAGCCAAGAUAUCCCUGCUUCCGGUUGAGAACUCCAAUCCUGUGUCGAGGCUGGACCCUGGCAGAGAACACAGAGACGCACACUGAAGGCGAUUAACUCCGUAGGAAAUGCAGAGGCUCACUUCUUUAUUUUUAAACUGCAGGUGACGCUUUAGGGGAGCAGUGGGUGUGAGCAUACGUUGGUUGAACGUCUCUCAGAUCCAGCUCGUCAAUUUACCAACUCAUCAGGUUACUCACGCGUGUAUUCCCUGACCAAGUGAUGUCAUCUCUGAGAUGUUACUCUUCCCGCACAUGUGAACAACUGAAAUACGCUAAGCUUAUCUUCUGUGACUGUGGACACUCCAGUCGCCAUCCAAACACAAUCAGGUUUAAUUAAAUGGUGACAGUGAAUGUAUGCAGUAACCAUCCAGACUUGGAGGUCCACCCACCAACGGCCAGUCCUCAUGUGAGCCAUGGGUGGUCAGAUAAUCCAUAGUGCCUAUCUCUCGCCAUUAAUCCUGAGCCCCAGGCAGUGUGGCAUUGAUGCUGGUGACAGCAGCGGCCAAUGAGGAAGAAGAGGAGGACACAGGGACAGCUGCUGUCCUGUCCAGUAGCACAUUUGCAGAGGCCAAGGGAUGACUAGUGAGAAUUGGUUCUAUCUACUCAUAAGAUUCUGGGGCUCCAAGCCAAAUCAUCAGGGAUGAUGGCCCAUGCUUUUCCAGAUGAACCAUCUCGCCAGCCAGUGAUGGUGAACUUGAUGGUUGACCUUGAUGGUCAACUUGAUUGGAUCUGGAACCAUCUAAUAGACAUGCCUCAGGGCAGGUUGUUUGUUCUGAGAAGACUUAACAGAAGGUAAGACCCAACCCCAUAAAGUCUAGUAUCUUCCGACGGUGACCCAAAUUGACAAAGGUCUAAGCAAAGGCAGGUCUCCAUGUUUGCCUGCCUUUGCUUCUUGCUAAUGAGUGAAUCUGCUGGGGAAAAUGCUGCUGUCCCCAGCCUUUGAAGCCCCAGAACCCACCUUCUUUAUCCUUCCAGUCUGCACCUUGGGCCAGUGGAUCUUUAGGAAUCCUCCAGCCCUUCUGCACCAGAUUGGACCUACUAAGGCAUCCAGCCCUGUGAACUGAGCAGCUGCUGCCUUUCCAGCCUCUGCGUGGUGAAAGACAAGCGUGGUUGGCCCAUUCCGUCCGUCUAGGAAGCCACUCUGAUCAGUUUUCUUGUGUAGUAUGUAUUCUUUCAAUUGGUUCUGUUCCUCUAGUGAGCUCUACGGAAAUGUGGUCAGCCACAGGGAAGAGGAAGCAGCAAGAAAAACCUCGAUCCGUAAGCAACGAGGUGGCCACCCAGCCAUGGUGUAGGUAGAGAUAUGAUGGAAAGGGUUAUGAAAAUUAAGACUAGACUAAUACCGGUCAAAUACAUUGAACCAGUAGUCAACACUGCCCCCACCCCCAUGUAUAGACUUGGGAGUAGGUUGUGUCACGGGCAAAUUAUCCAAUAAAAAGAUAAUUCUUUUAUAGUGCAAAUUGUCCCAGAGAAAAGGAAAACACUGGGCAGGGCGCAGCCAAAGCAAAGGAG